rnacentral:rRNA from 1 species
AAGGCACACCCGGAGAACUGAAACAUCUUAGUACCCGGAGGAAGAGAAAGAAAAUUCGAUUCCCUUAGUAGCGGCGAGCGAAACGGGAAGAGCCCAAACCAACAAGCUUGCUUGUUGGGGUUGUAGGACACUCUAUACGGAGUUACAAAGGACGACAUUAGACGAAUCAUCUGGAAAGAUGAAUCAAAGAAGGUAAUAAUCCUGUAGUCGAAAAUGUUGUCUCUCUUGAGUGGAUCCUGAGUACGACGGAGCACGUGAAAUUCCGUCGGAAUCUGGGAGGACCAUCUCCUAAGGCUAAAUACUCUCUAGUGACCGAUAGUGAACCAGUACCGUGAGGGAAAGGUGAAAAGCACCCCGGAAGGGGAGUGAAAUAGAACCUGAAACCGUGUGCUUACAAGUAGUCAGAGCCCGUUAAUGGGUGAUGGCGUGCCUUUUGUAGAAUGAACCGGCGAGUUACGAUUUGAUGCAAGGUUAAGCAGUAAAUGUGGAGCCGUAGCGAAAGCGAGUCUGAAUAGGGCGUUUAGUAUUUGGUCGUAGACCCGAAACCAGGUGAUCUACCCUUGGUCAGGUUGAAGUUCAGGUAACACUGAAUGGAGGACCGAACCGACUUACGUUGAAAAGUGAGCGGAUGAACUGAGGGUAGCGGAGAAAUUCCAAUCGAACCUGGAGAUAGCUGGUUCUCUCCGAAAUAGCUUUAGGGCUAGCCUCAAGUGAUGAUUAUUGGAGGUAGAGCACUGUUUGGACGAGGGGCCCCUCUCGGGUUACCGAAUUCAGACAAACUCCGAAUGCCAAUUAAUUUAACUUGGGAGUCAGAACAUGGGUGAUAAGGUCCGUGUUCGAAAGGGAAACAGCCCAGACCACCAGCUAAGGUCCCAAAAUAUAUGUUAAGUGGAAAAGGAUGUGGCGUUGCCCAGACAACUAGGAUGUUGGCUUAGAAGCAGCCAUCAUUUAAAGAGUGCGUAAUAGCUCACUAGUCGAGUGACACUGCGCCGAAAAUGUACCGGGGCUAAACAUAUUACCGAAGCUGUGGAUUGUCCUUUGGACAAUGGUAGGAGAGCGUUCUAAGGGCGUUGAAGCAUGAUCGUAAGGACAUGUGGAGCGCUUAGAAGUGAGAAUGCCGGUGUGAGUAGCGAAAGACGGGUGAGAAUCCCGUCCACCGAUUGACUAAGGUUUCCAGAGGAAGGCUCGUCCGCUCUGGGUUAGUCGGGUCCUAAGCUGAGGCCGACAGGCGUAGGCGAUGGAUAACAGGUUGAUAUUCCUGUACCACCUAUAAUCGUUUUAAUCGAUGGGGGGACGCAGUAGGAUAGGCGAAGCGUGCGAUUGGAUUGCACGUCUAAGCAGUAAGGCUGAGUAUUAGGCAAAUCCGGUACUCGUUAAGGCUGAGCUGUGAUGGGGAGAAGACAUUGUGUCUUCGAGUCGUUGAUUUCACACUGCCGAGAAAAGCCUCUAGAUAGAAAAUAGGUGCCCGUACCGCAAACCGACACAGGUAGUCAAGAUGAGAAUUCUAAGGUGAGCGAGCGAACUCUCGUUAAGGAACUCGGCAAAAUGACCCCGUAACUUCGGGAGAAGGGGUGCUCUUUAGGGUUAACGCCCAGAAGAGCCGCAGUGAAUAGGCCCAAGCGACUGUUUAUCAAAAACACAGGUCUCUGCUAAACCGUAAGGUGAUGUAUAGGGGCUGACGCCUGCCCGGUGCUGGAAGGUUAAGAGGAGUGGUUAGCUUCUGCGAAGCUACGAAUCGAAGCCCCAGUAAACGGCGGCCGUAACUAUAACGGUCCUAAGGUAGCGAAAUUCCUUGUCGGGUAAGUUCCGACCCGCACGAAAGGCGUAACGAUUUGGGCACUGUCUCAACGAGAGACUCGGUGAAAUCAUAGUACCUGUGAAGAUGCAGGUUACCCGCGACAGGACGGAAAGACCCCGUGGAGCUUUACUGUAGCCUGAUAUUGAAAUUCGGCACAGCUUGUACAGGAUAGGUAGGAGCCUUUGAAACGUGAGCGCUAGCUUACGUGGAGGCGCUGGUGGGAUACUACCCUAGCUGUGUUGGCUUUCUAACCCGCACCACUUAUCGUGGUGGGAGACAGUGUCAGGCGGGCAGUUUGACUGGGGCGGUCGCCUCCUAAAAGGUAACGGAGGCGCUCAAAGGUUCCCUCAGAAUGGUUGGAAAUCAUUCAUAGAGUGUAAAGGCAUAAGGGAGCUUGACUGCGAGACCUACAAGUCGAGCAGGGUCGAAAGACGGACUUAGUGAUCCGGUGGUUCCGCAUGGAAGGGCCAUCGCUCAACGGAUAAAAGCUACCCCGGGGAUAACAGGCUUAUCUCCCCCAAGAGUUCACAUCGACGGGGAGGUUUGGCACCUCGAUGUCGGCUCAUCGCAUCCUGGGGCUGUAGUCGGUCCCAAGGGUUGGGCUGUUCGCCCAUUAAAGCGGUACGCGAGCUGGGUUCAGAACGUCGUGAGACAGUUCGGUCCCUAUCCGUCGUGGGCGUAGGAAAUUUGAGAGGAGCUGUCCUUAGUACGAGAGGACCGGGAUGGACAUACCUCUGGUGUACCAGUUGUCGUGCCAACGGCAUAGCUGGGUAGCUAUGUGUGGACGGGAUAAGUGCUGAAAGCAUCUAAGCAUGAAGCCCCCCUCAAGAUGAGAUUUCCCAACUUCGGUUAUAAGAUCCCUCAAAGAUGAUGAGGUUAAUAGGUUCGAGGUGGAAGCAUGGUGACAUGUGGAGCUGACGAAUACUAAUCGAUCGAAGACUUAAUCAA